UGAAACAGUAUCAAAGGGAUUGCAUUGU
rnacentral:piRNA from 1 species